rnacentral:rRNA from 1 species
UGAACGCUGGCGGCAGGCCUAACACAUGCAAGUCGAGCGGCAGCGGGAAAGUAGCUUGCUACUUUUGCCGGCGAGCGGCGGACGGGUGAGUAAUGCCUGGGGAUCUGCCCAGUCGAGGGGGAUAACAGUUGGAAACGACUGCUAAUACCGCAUACGCCCUACGGGGGAAAGGAGGGGACCUUCGGGCCUUUCGCGAUUGGAUGAACCCAGGUGGGAUUAGCUAGUUGGUGGGGUAAUGGCUCACCAAGGCGACGAUCCCUAGCUGGUCUGAGAGGAUGAACAGCCACACUGGAACUGAGACACGGUCCAGACUCCUACGGGAGGCAGCAGUGGGGAAUAUUGCACAAUGGGGGAAACCCUGAUGCAGCCAGCCGCGUGUGUGAAGAAGGCCUUCGGGUUGUAAAGCACUUUCAGCGAGGAGGAAAGGUUGUUGGCUAAUACCCAGCAACUGUGACGUUACUCGCAGAAGAAGCACCGGCUAACUCCGUGCCAGCAGCCGCGGUAAUACGGAGGGUGCAAGCGUUAAUCGGAAUUACUGGGCGUAAAGCGCACGCAGGCGGUUGGAUAAGUUAGAUGUGAAAGCCCCGGGCUCAACCUGGGAAUUGCAUUUAAAACUGUCCAGCUAGAGUCUUGUAGAGGGGGGUAGAAUUCCAGGUGUAGCGGUGAAAUGCGUAGAGA